AUUGAACGCUGGCGGCAGGCUUAACACAUGCAAGUCGAGCUAGCGGCGGCCGGGUGAGUAAUAUAUGGGAAAAUGCCUGAUGGAAGGGGAUAACUACUGGACACGGUCGCUAAUACCGCAUACGAUUAGAUGUGCCCAGAUGGGAUUAGCUAGUAGGUGGGGUAAUGGCUCACCUCGGCGACGCACCCUAACUGGUCUGAGAGGAUGACCAGCCACACUGGAACGGAGACACGGUCCAGACUCCGCCGGUAGGCAGCAGUGGGGAAUAUUGCACAAUGGGCGCAAGCCUGAUGCAGCCAUGCCGCGUGUGUCAAGAAGGCCUUCGGGUUGUAAAUCACUUUCAGCGAGGAGGCGUUACUCGCAGAAGAAGCACCGGCUAACUCCGUGCCAGCAGCCGCGGUAAUAC
rnacentral:rRNA from 1 species